CCUACGAGAGGCAGCAGUGGGGAAUAUUGCACAAUGGGGGGAACCCUGAUGCAGCGACGCCGCGUGAAGGAAGAAGGAUUUCGGUAUGUAAACUUCUAUUAGCCUGGAAGAAAAGGACGGUACCUGACUAAGAAUCCCCGGCUAACUAAGUGCCAGCAGCCGCGGUAACAUGUAGGGGGCAAGCGUUAUCCGGAUUUACUGGGUGUAAAGGGAGCGUGGGAGGGAGUGCAAGUCAGAAGUGAAAGCCCAAGGCUCAACCAUGGGACUGCUUUUGAAACUGUACAGCUGGAGUGCAGGAGAGGUAAGUGGAAUUCCUAGUGGAGCGGUGAAAUGCGUAGAUAUUAGGAGGAACACCAGUGGCGAAGGCGGCUUACUGGACUGUAAAUGACGCUGAGGCGCGAAAGCGGGGGGAGCAAACAGGAUUAGAUACCCCAGUAGUC
rnacentral:rRNA from 1 species